UACGUAGGGGGCAAGCGUUGUCCGGAUUUAUUGGGCGUAAAGAGCGUGUAGGCGGCCAGGUAGGUCUGCUGUGAAAACUCGAGGCUUAACCUCGAGCUGUCGGCGGAAACCAUCUGGCUAGAGUCCGGAAGAGGAGAAUGGAAUUCCCGGUGUAGCGGGUGAAAUGCGCAGAUAUCGGGAAGAACACCCGUGGCGAAGGCGGUUCUCUGGGACGGUACUGACGCUGAGACGCGAAAGCGUGGGGAGCGAACAGG
rnacentral:rRNA from 1 species